rnacentral:rRNA from 1 species
ACGGGGGGAGCAAGCGUUGUUCGGAUUUACUGGGCGUAAAGGGCGCGUAGGCGGCCACCGCAAGUCAAUUGUGAAAUCUCCGGGCUUAACUCGGAAAGGUCAACUGAUACUGCGGGGCUAGAGUGCAGAAGGGGCAACUGGAAUUCUCGGUGUAGCGGUGAAAUGCGUAGAUAUCAAGAGGAACACCUGAGGCGAAGGCGGGUUGCUAGGCUGAUACUGACGCUGAGGCGCGAAAGCUAGGGUAGCAAACGGGA